UUUCUAAACGACUCUCGGCAACGGAUAUCUCGGCUCUCGCAUCGAUGAAGAACGUAGCGAAAUGCGAUACUUGGUGUGAAUUGCAGAAUCCCGUGAACCAUCGAGUCUUUGAACGCAAGUUGCGCCCGAAGCCUUUUGGCCGAGGGCACGUCUGCCUGGGU
rnacentral:rRNA from 2 species